AGGUCAGAGGGCGGUCGUGGUCAGGGGCCGUAGCCGGGUCAGGGAUCAGCCCCCGAACACCUUGCGGACGAGGAGGAGUGGGCCAUGUUCCGGAAGGUUCCACAUGUCGGCCUCCAACAGGGGUCUUGACCCCAGGUAGAC